GAUGAGAAAAUAAUUAUAAGAUAUUANNUAUUUUAUAAAAUGUUUCUCGAUUAAUUUUUUUGAGGAUAAGCUCGAAAAAGAAUUAAGAAAUUUUACUAAUUUAGGUUAUUAUGUGGGCUUAAAAUUGGCCAUCAUAAGAGUUUGUUAUAAAACAAUAAUUUUAAUAUUUAAAAUAAAUAUAUUUUAUUCUAAUUUUUUACAGAAAUAAAGACCUCGAUUAAUAAAUGCCUUAUACCUAUGCUAGGAUGAGUAUUAAAACUUUUUAUAUUUUAAGAAAGUUUUAUGUAUUUUUCUUCUAAAAAAAUAUUGAUUAAAUUAAAUUAGUUAAAAGGAACUCGGCAAAAUUAAUGCUUUCGCCUGUUUAUCAAAAACAUGGCUCUCUGAAUUUAUUUUUAUAGAGAGUCAGGCCUGCCCAGUGAAUAAUAUUU
rnacentral:rRNA from 1 species